ensembl:lncRNA
AAACUUACUCUUCAGCCACAUGCUAAUGGGUUCAUCUUAAGAUAGUAAAGCAAUGCAUGUUUUUAAUAUCAGACUUCUCUUGUAUUGGUGAGAGCUACAGUUUUUUUGCUGACAAGACAGUUUUAGAACUACAUGAAUGGCACAUGUUUGUUUAGGGAAAAAAAAAUGAGGACCAGGAAGGCCAUUUUGAGCCACAGGAUAUCCUUAUCUGAUUGACCACAGUCACAGAGUUGGCAAAGACUGAAGUACUUGCAUGGUGAAUACUGCUAACGAUCAAGUGCUGCGUCAACUAGGGCAUAAGCCACUUUCUGCUAGAAGAGGUAUGUGAUGACAAGCUCGCCCAAAGGAAAAAAAGUAUCUUCUCUUUUCAUCCCUGAUGCACAUCUGCAUUGGUUUCCUCUGCUCCCACAUCCACCAGAAAAUUUUCAUCCAUUAUUAUUCCCGGAUCCCUUUACAGGCAAACAGGCAAACAUAUUCUGUCCAUUCUUCCCAACACCAACAUCACCCCGACAGUGAUGUUCAAAGACUUGCACUCUUUCCCUUAGAGAGAAAAUUGAAAAUUGGAGGCAAGUAGGGAGAAAAGGUUGCUCACAAAAUCUUCCUUGCUGAAGACAGCAACAGAGCUUUAUGAACACUUUGUCAGAGAUACACACUGGCUUCAUCAAACUCUUGCGUUUAGACCAUCAGUGCAGUUUUAUUUUUGGCACAGGACCUCACCAGCGAAGGACUUCAGACCCUCUGGGCCCUACUCUCACACCACAAUGGACAAUUGAUUUCCUCUGUAUUGCUAUGGGUAGCAUGCCAUAGGUGAUUAGGGGGAAAUAUCGGAGAAACCCACUCCUGUCCUAGGUUACCUUGGUCAAAUAAUUCCUUUCAGGUUUAUACCAAAUUCCAUUUAAUGCUCUCAGUUUCUGUGGUCUCCUUUCUUUCCCUUACCAUAGAGAUUCUCUCAACUGUCCCACUGACAAGUUGGCCUAUUUCUGAUGUUUGUAAGUGGCUAGUAUCAGAUAACCAUUGGAAUGAGUGACGGUUAGCUGAUAAAGUUGCUAAUUAAAGCCCUGUUUUCAACACUCCUGAAAGACUAACUGGGCCAAAAUUUAGAGCACAUGAGAAGUUUUACUUUUAAAAGCAUGAUUAAUUUGCUGAAUAAAAGGCUCUAACAAUUUAAAAGAAAGUCAUGCCUAGAACCUUGCAAAAACAUUUCUCUCCACAGAGAAUUAUAGAAAUGGUACAGUUCUCUUUAAAGUUUUGUAAAUUUAAUUUUGCAGGUUUCUUGUAAACACUGAGGUUAAAUCUCUAAAAAUGCUGCAGCACUGAAAAGGCUAUCAUUUUAUGAUCUCAAACAUUCAUUUUGAAUUACAUAUUCAUAACAUUUAAAAAUUUAAAAGAAAUAUUUUCUAUCCUCUCUGAUAUAAAGUUACAUAUCCAGUUACCGGAAGGACUGUGCAAAUGAGAUAAUGUCAUUUCAGGAUGGCAGCAACGACAUGAAUACCUUUACCAAAGCACUAAAUGCACCCGGUGGUAAUAACUUGGCUCUGAGUCUGAGCUGACUAGGGCUCAUAUGUCCCUGUGUAAUUCAUGCAUACAAUUCAUACAAAGGCUACUGCUUUUAUUUCAGAUGUUGGUUCAAUUACCAAACAGUUCGCUAGUGGUUGUAUAAAAUGCCUCAGAACUUCUAUCAUAACCAGAAAUACUGUUGAGGUUUUAAAAUGUCUCAGAUGCCCUAUGUUUGUGCACACCUGUUUUGUUACUUGGUUUUAAUAUUCUCAGAUGGUAAACAAUGAAGGUCUAUUUUGAAAUAGUGUGAUGAGCUGCACUACACUCUGAUAAUGAGCAUAGAAAUUUUUCAUCCCAUUUUUUAUUUAAGUGCUGCUACGGUGAUUAUUUACUGUGAGGGUAACAGAACAGAUGGUGAAUACUUAGCUGACCGAUAUCUACGGGUUGCACAUGCAGCAUAUUAGAACUUUUGUUGGCACUGAGGAAAUGAUUCCAAAUUGCAGCUUUGUUGCUUGCUUUGUUUUGGAGAGAACUAAUAAAUAGAAUGGAAAAUGGAAAAUGAUUACCACUGAAGGAUUAUACUUAUGUUUCGUCUGCCUUGUGUUUGAUGUGAUCACAUUUCAAAAAGUAAACUAGAUUAGGAAGAUCAUGAUGAGAGUCCUCUUUUGUAAUAUCCACUAAGUUUAAUUAAACGUGGGUGAU